ACAACAUGAUUUUCCUUUGUUUUCAGAGAAUAAACUUCAUAAAAUAGUAUUUCCAGCCCCUUGUGCCAUUAACCCAGGAAUCCAGGAAUGAUGAGCAAUGAACUCUUGCCAGAGGAAGACACCACAGGACCAAUGGAAUGGAGCAAUGAUGCCCUGCUUCUAGCUAGCUGCCUCUCAACUUCCCAGGCCAGCAGCCUCCAACAAGGGUCCACGCAAGGCCCCCUCUUGCUUCUUGGAAAGUUCUGGUGCCCCUCACUGCUCCUUCAAACUCAGCUCUGGCAGUUGACUGCUUGCUCUGGCCACCUGAAAUAAGCAGCCAUCUCAUUGGGUGGUCCUGGCUUAUUUUCCUCAGGUGGAAUGCUAGUCGUGAAGGGGAGUGCACAGAUUUGAAAGUUAGUCUGGAAAAGUCCUUUUCUCUGUCUGACACGUAAAGCCACAGAAUAAAAAUGUUGCUUGCAUGGAUACCUAUUGAAUCUGGAAGCUCUUCUCCAGCAGGAAUACUCAGCCCAGACAACACAAUGGCACACAUGAUUCAUACAAAAUAUACUUUCUUCGAAUCCCCAUGUUGGAGAGGCCCAGACACACAUAUUCAUGUUAGGAUGCUGUAGUUCACACAUCCCAAGAGAAAUUAAAAAUUUUAAGAGACUAUGUGACAAGAAGACCAAGUCACCCCUCUCUUGUUGCUAAAAAUGAUUACAAAUUAUUGUCCAAUGAAAUACUUUUCAUUGAGUAUACUGCCAAAAAUGUAAGAGUAAAAGUAUCCUAGGGAUGUGUCAAACAGUUAAUUAACAAAAAAAAAAAAAAUUGUGCUUGUCUUUUAGAUGUUUGUGGUAUUUGUGCUUCUUUCUUACUUCUUGAAAUUUGCUUUAUUUUCUUAUUCUGAAUAAAUAUUCACUUAUA